rnacentral:rRNA from 1 species
GAUGAACGCUGGCGGCGUGCCUAAUACAUGCAAGUCGAGCGAACAGAUAAGGAGCUUGCUCCUUUGACGUUAGCGGCGGACGGGUGAGUAACACGUGGGUAACCUACCUAUAAGACUGGAAUAACUCCGGGAAACCGGGGCUAAUGCCGGAUAACAUUUAGAACCGCAUGGUUCUAAAGUGAAAGAUGGUUUUGCUAUCACUUAUAGAUGGACCCGCGCCGUAUUAGCUAGUUGGUAAGGUAACGGCUUACCAAGGCAACGAUACGUAGCCGACCUGAGGGGGUGAUCGGCCACACUGGAACUGAGACACGGUCCAGACUCCUACGGGAGGCAGCAGUAGGGAAUCUUCCGCAAAGGGCGAAAGCCUGACGGAGCAACGCCGCGUGAGUGAUGAAGGUCUUCGGAUCGUAAAACUCUGUUAUUAGGGAAGAACAAAUGUGUAAGUAACUGUGCACGUCUUGACGGUACCUAAUCAGAAAGCCACGGCUAACUACGUG